CUGCUCGCUUCGGCAGCAGGUAUACUACAAUUGGAACGAUACAGAGAUUAGUAUGGCCCCUGCAUUUUCAUGACGUGCAAAUUCGUGAAGCAUUCCAUAUUUUU
ensembl:snRNA U6 U6 spliceosomal RNA